UUUUAAAAAAUCACACAUGAAUCAAGGUUGUGACUUCUGUUUUAAUAUAUAAGAUAAAAUCUUACGGAAGAAAGAUGAUGAUGCAGUUAAGAGUAGAUCCUUAUAAAGCAGGUAGUAUUGUCGGUUGUCGAAUCGUCUAUAUAAUCUUUCUCAUCUUACAAUACUAAAAGGAGAAUAACUAGAGCAGAGAGAGUGUCCACAUCAUCCGUUUAAUUCCACCAAUCAUAAGGUUGUCCGAUGCCACGUCAUGCCCUCAUCAAUCGAUAACAGAUUAAUAAUGUGUCAAAAAAAUUUGGAAUGCUAUGAUAAUCUUUAGAAAAUUUUACAUUUAGACAUACUUUUUCCUUCUUUCCUAUCACUUAGACAUAUUCUCUUCAUGUAGAGUACUUUACUAGGGUAGAAUGACCAAACUACCCCAAAACUACAACUAGCUUAGGUACCCUUUUUAAUUUAGAUUUCUUUUUAUUUUUACUUCACUAUAACCCAAUUACAUCCUCUCUUUUAUCUCUAUCCUCUUAGGAACCCUAGAUUUUGUCAAUUCCCUUCUCACCGCCGCAGCUCAAGAAUCAAAAGUUUAAGCUUUAUGCAAUCUUUCUAUCUCCCUUUCGAUUGUAAACCCUAAAUCCACUCCACCUUUCUGCUUUUCUAAUUACCGGCGAGGCUUUCCGGCCAGAUUGCAAACUAUCUGAACGGCUCUUUGCAGCAUACAUAUUUUAGAGGAAGUGAUUCAAUCUCGUCGGUACUGUCAACAUUGAUUCGUGUGGUCAGGGAUAGGAAACAUGUGGUCAGCAACAUCGAUGAUGUGGUCAUUAGAUGAGUGGAACUAGCGAGGUGUGUUAGGGUUUGUUGGUUAGAGGUAGCGGCAUCGUGGUCAGGGGUCACACUUGUAGUACGAUAGUUGGGGUCAGAGGUGGUGUGGUGUGGUAUGGAUGUUAUGUUGUUACAUGUUAUUAGCUUGUUACCUUAGUGGAGAGAAGAAGGGUUGGUGAGCAUGUCGUGAGUAUUAUGGUAGUUGUCAUACACAUCCACGAAUAUUUGAUAAAGAGUUUGGUUGGCAAAACACUCAAGAUCAUCCUGUCUAAAUAUUGGAGAGGUACACGUUGGGUCACCCGUGCGGAUGUGGUUAGCAUCCUCUGUUUUCUGGACACAUGAAUCCCAAAUGAAGUGUUUAAAGGUGAGUUUAACAAGAAAGGAAUGUAACCGAAGGGGAGAAAACAGAGAGGAGACAUUUAUUAAUAAAUAACCUAGAACGUGUUUUAAAAGAAAUGAAACUGGUCUCUUUUUGGUUUUAUCUUUCUCUUUCCAAUCAAGGGCAAUUUUGUCUAAACAAAAUCAAAAAGCAAGUUUAAAAUACACUACCAACAAGAAAUAUGUCAAAGUGUAAGGGUCUAAGACUAAAGUAUGUCUAUAUGUUAAUCUCUCUAAUCUUUGUGGGCUUCCUCAUAUGGCCUGUAAAUAUUUUUCUCUCUAUAACUUAACGCCUCGAAUUUCUUUUCCUUUUUACUAUUAGUCCUAACUUAAGAGUAAAUAAAAAACGUAUGAAUUAUGAUCUAUAAAUGAAAGAUGUAUUAAUCUUAAACAUACGUAUUUAAUUCGAUUGGCGACAUUCAUGCCGAAGAUGAACGGUUUAGAACUUAUAUAUAAAAGUGAAUCGAAUACCUCACGAACUCAGAAGAACAAAUUUACAUUAGAAUCACCUUCCAAUCUUCCAUUUCACUUUCUGCUUUCAGAAGCCAGAGAGCCGCUACGAUUUUCCUCAGGAUCUUUUUUUCCAAAACAAAAAACUCUCGAACCUAUUUUAACUGCUGGCAAAUUCAUGCCUCUUCCAUAUCACCGUAUCCUCCUCAGUUUCUGCUGGUAGAGGUCCUCUACCGUGGUGUUGGAUCACCGGGACAGAGGAAGGUCCACAGACUACGACGAGUGAAUGUUGAUCAAAUACAAGGAACUAGGCGCCACGGAACUAUCGCUGGAAGGCUAACUCAAUAUUGCUUUCACGGAGAAUGGAUCUCUCUUCACCGCGUUUAAGAGCAGAAACGUGGCUGAUCGGCUUCUUCCAAUAAGAGGAAGCUGGAAGCAUGCGUCUAGGAGAUAAGAAGAUCAAAAGGAUGAUGAAGUUGACGCAUUAGAGCUACACCACCAUCGACGAUCUGGAUCUGGAGAAAGUAUCCAUGGCUGUCGCUUCUAAAAUUAAUGGCGGCGGAGGAGGCACGAAAUGAAGCUAUUGGCGGUGGUGGUCGGACUGUUCUAGGUUACAAACAAAUCUACUGAUCUCUUUGUCUCAAUAUCUAACACAAUUUUGGUGUAUUUCUUCUACGAUUUAAUUUUCUUAGGUUGUGAUUAAUAAAAAUUGUCAUUUUCUUUUUUUACUUAAUUUUGGUUUUAUUUUGAUAAAUUCGUCAUAGAACUAUAAACUAAUGUAUUAUCCAUAAAGCUAAUAAGAUUUGGUCAUAUGAGUCA